rnacentral:rRNA from 1 species
UACGGAGGGUGCAAGCAUUAAUCGGAAUUAUUGGGCGUAAAGGGCGCGUAGGCGGAUUCGUAAGUCAGAUGUGAAAUCCCGAGGCUUAACUUCGGAACGGCAUUUGAAACUACAAAUCUUGAGGGUAGACGGAGAAAACGGAAUUCCACAUGUAGCGGUGAAAUGCGUGGAUAUGUGGAAGAACACCGGUGGCGAAAGCGGUUUUCUAGUUUAUUCCUGACGCUGAGGCGCGAGAGCAAGGGGAGCAAACAGG